rnacentral:lncRNA from 1 species
CUCUCUCUCUCUCUCUCUCUCUCCUUUCUCCCUCUCUCCUUUCUCUAUCUCCCUCUUCUCUUUUAUAGUUUUUUUCAUAAUGCGAAUUCCUUGGUCUUGUGUAGCCUCUCCCUUGUGGAAUCAGAUAAAAGACCUUGGUUGAAUCCCAAAUGGCAUCCUAUUUGCUACGUAGAGCCCCAUGUCCUGGGGAGAGAGCCCAGCCCUGGAGGUAGCUAUGUCCUGGGGAGAGAGACCAGCCCUGGAGGUAGCUAUGUCCUGGGAAGAGACCAGCCCUGGAGGUAGCUAUGUCCUGGGGAGAGACCAGCCCUGGAGGUAGCUAUGUCCUGGGGAGAGAGCCCAGCCCUGGAGGUAGCUAUGUCCUGGGAAGAGACCAGCCCUGGAGGUAGCUAUGUCCUGGGGAGAGAGACCAGCCCUGGAGGUAGCUAUGUCCUGGGGAGAGCCCAGCCCUGGAGGUAGCUAUGUCCUGGGGAGAGAGACCAGCCCUGGAGGUAGCUAUGUCCUGGGGAGAGAGCCCAGCCCCAGGAGAGAAGAGUGGGGGCAACAGAGAGAGAGAAACAGAGAGAGGAAAAGGGAGAGUAAGAUAGAAAGAAACCACCUAAAAGGAAGCAAUUCCCAAACCUUCCAUAACAAAGCCAUCACCUACAGAGAGAUGAACCUGGAUUAGAGUCCCCUAAGCAAGCUGAUCCUGAGGCUCUGUUCACAAACACAAACAGGCCCCACAGAGCCCCAGGACAGCAACACAAUUAGACCCAACCAAAUCAUGAGAAAACAAAAGGAUAAUUAAUUACUUGACACAUUGGAAAGAAUUUACAAAAUAACAGAGCAAACUAGAAUGCUAUUUGGUCCUAAACAGAGAGUACACAGUGGCAGAAUACCUGACCAGUGUGACUGACCCAAAUUGAAGGAAAGUUUUGACUAUGUACAGACUCAGUGAUCAUAGCCUUGCUAAUGAGAAAGGCCACCGUAGGCAGACCUGGCUCUCAAGAGAAGACAGGCUAUGUGCACACUGCCCACAAAAUGAGGUUGAAACUGAACUGCACUUCCUAACCUCCUGUCAAAUGUAUGACCAUAUUAGAGACACAUAUUUCACUCAGAUUACAUAGACCCACAAAGAAUUCGAAACAAAUCCAAUUUUGAUAAACUCUCAUAUCUACUGGGUGAAAUACCACAGUGUGCCAUCACAGCAGCAAGAUUUGUGACCUGUCGCCACAAGAAAAGGGCAACCAGUGAAGAACAAACACCAUUGUAAAUACAACCAAUAUUUAUGUUUAUUUAUUUUCCCUUUUGUACUUUAACUAUUUGCACAUGAUUACAACACUGUAUAUAGACAUAAUAUGAUAUUUGUAAUGUCUUUAUUCUUUUGGAACUUUUGUGAGUGUAAUGUUUACUGUUAAUUUUGUAUUGUUUAUUUGACUUUGCCAAAGCAAGUGAAAUAGAUAAACAAUGUAAACAUAUGUUUCCCAUGUCAAUAAAGCCCCUUGAAUUGAAAUUGAGUUGAAUUGAAAGCGAGACCGAUGCAGUUUCCAGACCUUUUAUUGCUUCUCCUUUCAUCUAGCUUCAUUCACCAGGCUGUACUUCAGUGUUCACUGCGUAACAGACACACUCAACAUGCUUUCGAGAGCUUUUUUCCACUUUGAAAGCAGAUAAAAACAUUCCUCUCUCAGCUGGGCUGUGAGUAGAUGUCAGCAUACUGGCACACACACACACGCACACACACGCACACACACAUAUACACACACAUAUACACACACAUAUACACACACACACACACACACACACACACACACACACACACACACACACAGACACAGACACAGACACACACACACACACACACACACACACACACACACACACACACACACACACACACACACACACAGACUCCUUUGAGGUUACAGUGAUGUCUUCAUGGGGUGAUUAAAAGCUGUUGUUUUCAGACAGUGGGAUUGGAGGAAGGAUAUGUCUGAAAUUACUAGACUGUACCUUUCAAACUUCAGUAGAAUACUGCUAUUGAUUUUCAACCUGUCUUUCUGCACGUCUUUGUCUGAUAACAUACCAUAGGUCCAGACUGACGAUUCCACUCUUUCUUUGAUUUGGACACAUUCAUCAGUAAAGCUACAUUAUAGUGACUUUCGAGUUACUGAAGGUUUAAUGCCGUUAUGUGAAACAUUAUUAUUGAGGCUGAAGGCUUGGUCUUUAUCUGCGAUCAUAUAUUGAGAUCAUUUUUAUUUACAUAAUGAUCACACCCAGUCCUGUGGUUGUUGAUGGAGUGUAGAGAAUCAAUGGGCGGUAUCCUGAACGGCUCAGUGUGACUGUGAAUAGGGAUGGAAGGGUUUUACACUGACUGAGAAACUGCCUGCGUCACAAUGCUGGAUCAAUGAGCCCCAGCAUGCUUCAAUUACCUUUUGGAAAGUGGGGGGAAACUGUGUUGUGGCGUUCACUUGGCUCUGUACUGCACUGUGAGCAAAGAUCCAUAAUGGCAGUAUAGUUGCCUAUGGGAAAUGCCCAGGGGAGUGCCUUACAGGGUAUCCUCAACAGACAUGUCAAUACCAUCUUAUAUUGGGCUACAACUGUGUGCUUAGUUACUCAAUGGUAAUAAUAGUGAUAGAGAUGCUGUAGCUUACCAUCUGCUGCAACAACCUUGAACAUGCCUGGCUGGUCCCUUUACCAACACAGACAGAGAGACAGAGAGAGAGAGAGAGAGAGAACACACACCUUGGCUGUGUUUCAGAUGGUAUGCUAUUAUGCCUUAUAUCAUAAUCUCCACACUAAAGUUAUUAGGACCCUAAAACGUUUAGUCUCCUGUAAUCUAACCAAUAUGAUGGGAGGGAGCCAUGAUCAGGGGAGGUUAUUUGAGGGUGAGUCCCAAAUGGCAUUCCCCAUAGAGAGGGGGAGAGGAGGAGGAAGGGGGGGGAGAAAGAGAGAGAGAGAGAGGGUCAGAUGUGAUCUUUAACUCACACACACACCUGCACAUACACACACACACACACACACACACACACACACACACACACACACACACACACACACACACACACACACACACACACACACACACACACACACACACACACACACACACACAGGGAACUUGUGAGAAGCCUGACUGAACGAACCCACUGCCCUCUGUCUCACCAUCGGGUCUUGUUUCAUAGUUGUUCUCACUUCUAAUUGUAUUAUGUUGUUUUAAAGAACCUCCUCUCUCUG